rnacentral:rRNA from 1 species
AUACGGAGGAUGCGAGCGUUAUCCGGAUUUAUUGGGUUUAAAGGGAGCGUAGGCGGGAGCUUAAGUCAGCGGUUAAAUGGUGCGGCUCAACCGUGCCCUGCCGUUGAAAAUGGGUUUCUUGAGCGUGCAAGAGGCGGAUGGAAUUCAUGGUGUCGCGGAGGAAUGCUUAGAUAUCAUGAAGAACUCCGAUUGCGAAGGCAGUCCGCUGGGGCACGUCUGACGCUGAUGCUCGAAGGUGCGGGAAUCAAACAGGAUUAGAUACCCUGGUAGUCCGCACGGUAAACGAUGAUUACCCGCUGUCGGCGGUAGACAGUCGGCGGCCAAGCGAAAGCGAUAAGUAAUCCACCUGGGGAGUACGCCGGCAACGGUGAAACUCAAAUGAAUUGACGGGG